rnacentral:rRNA from 1 species
UACGGGGGGGGCAAGCGUCGUUCGGAAUUACUGGGCGUAAAGGGCUCGUAGGCGGCCAACUAAGUCGGACGUGAAAUCCCCAGGCUCAACCUGGGAACUGCGUCCGAUACUGGAUGGCUUGAAUUCGGGAGAGGGAUGCAGAAUUCCAGGUGUAGCGGUGAAAUGCGUAGAUAUCUGGAGGAAUACCGGUGGCGAAGGCGGCAUCCUGGACCGACAUUGACGCUGAGGAGCGAAAGCUAGGGGAGCAAACGGG